AUCUAUGGCCAUACCACCCUGAGCCCGCCCAAUCUCAUUUCAUCCAAAAGCUAAGCAGGGUCAGACCUGGUUGGUACUUGGAUAGGAGAUCCCUUGGGAAUACCAAGGCUUGGGCU
rnacentral:rRNA from 1 species